rnacentral:rRNA from 1 species
ACGAGUUUGACUCCGUGGCUCAAGAACGAACGCUGGCGGCAUGCCUAACACAUGCAAGUCGAACGAGACCUUCGGGUCUAGUGGCGCACGGGUGCGUAACGCGUGGGAACCUGCCUUUAGGUUCGGAAUAACUCAGAGAAAUUUGAGCUAAUACCGGAUAAUGUCUUCGGACCAAAGAUUUAUCGCCUUUAGAUGGGCCCGCGUUGGAUUAGCUAGUUGGUGGGGUAAAGGCCUACCAAGGCGACGAUCCAUAGCUGGUCUGAGAGGAUGAUCAGCCACACUGGGACUGAGACACGGCCCAGACUCCUACGGGAGGCAGCAGUGGGGAAUAUUGGACAAUGGGCGAAAGCCUGAUCCAGCAAUGCCGCGUGAGUGAUGAAGGCCUUAGGGUUGUAAAGCUCUUUUACCCGAGAUGAUAAUGAAAGUAUCGGGAGAAUAAGCUCCGGCUAACUCCGUG